rnacentral:lncRNA from 12 species
AUAUUUGGGGUUAUAUGGUGCUUGUCUCAUGAUUGGACUGAGAUUAUAGCUUUUGGGGAAGAAUGCCACAGAAGUCAAAAUAUCCAUGUCAUCACAUCAUGUCAGAAGUGCGUAAUAUCCGCCCAAUGUGACUGAUGUUGUUAACUUCGAUCGUUUAGUUAAAGUAGUUGUUCCAGGUUACCCCAUUGUAAAGUUACUAUUUUUUCCCUUUUCAUAUUUUAUUUUUAGGGUGAGUCGCUAAGUCCAGUCCACAUUUAAGGGGGAGAGAAGAUUAAGCCCUACUUCCAGAGGGUGGAGUAUCUACAGUUACUAUUUGAAAAUCUUCUGACGGAGUCUUUUAAAUCUUCUCUUUCAACUCCUGGACCACUGGGCCAAGAGAAGAAAACAUUAACACACACACAGUUAGAGGCGGACCUGAUUCCACUUAUAUGAGGACAAUUUUGACCAAGAAGAGUGAUAAAAGAAUAAUGGACAGUUGUCAAAUAUGAAAAAAUGGAAAGAGUUUUGAAAGACAACAAG